AUAAAAAGUGCGAAUUUAAGAUUUUUAGUAAAAAAUUAACAAUAUCUAAAGAAAACGAAACUGAAAAAAGAAAACAUAAAUCGAAAGCACUUUCUCUGGCACAGCUGUCAAUAAAGCAAAAGGAAACUGAAACCAGAACAGAUACUGGAAUCCAAAGGAAGCAAAGAAUUAACUACUUGCGUAUAUUAACAAACAAGACAUCAUAAUUAUUGGAUAAAUAAAACAUUUCCACACAAAAGCCAUACAAACAGACAGCCAGUCAGUCAGUCAG